CCCGUUGCUGUUCGGGACUGAGCUGUCUUAAGAGGACUGUGGACUGCUUCAUCGAGGCCUUCGGGUCGCGUUAUGGCGGGAUACAGUUCAAUCGCAAUGGCUUGAACCGGGUAAAAGUCGUAA
rnacentral:ncRNA from 1 species